rnacentral:rRNA from 1 species
UUAAUGGAGAGUUUGAUCCUGGCUCAGGACGAACGCUGGCGGCGUGCCUAAUACAUGCAAGUCGAGCGGGGUUAAUUAGAAGCUUGCUUCUAAUUAACCUAGCGGCGGACGGGUGAGUAACACGUAGGCAACCUGCCCACAAGACAGGGAUA